ACCGGAGCUAAUACCGGAUAAUAUUUUGAACCGCAUGGUUCAAAAGUGAAAGACGGUCUUGCUGUCACUUAUAGAUGGAUCCGCGCUGCAUUAGCUAGAUGGUAAGGUAACGGCUUACCAAGGCAACGAUGCAUAGCCGACCUGAGAGGGUGAUCGGCCACACUGGAACUGAGACACGGUCCAG
rnacentral:rRNA from 1 species